rnacentral:sRNA from 1 species
UAUGAUUGAGUUUUGGUUUUAGUUGUGAGCUUUGAGUGAAAUUAGAAGCAAAUGUGACUCGCAGAAAGUGAUUUCUACCAUAUGGGAUAAAAUGCCACUGCAAAUCGACGCGGACAGACUUGUUUUUACUAACUACUAACCUGGGGUGUAGGUUAAGUGAGAAAGGUGAAUGACAGCCAUAUUCUUUCAACUUAAGCAUAGUCAUUCACCUACAUUUCUCAACAACCUAGCUCAUGUAUGGCUCCUCGAAUGCCACACCCUGGGCAACAGUCUUGGCUGACUGGCUAAAUACAUGAGUUAUUUAUGAGCUGAAUAAUAUUUACAGGCUAGUCCAUGUUUUGCAUGAAUCAAAACAAGAAAUCGCCAGGAAAUGACAUCUAAGAUUGUAUGUAAAAAUCUACAUCUAAAAAUUUAUUAAAAACUUUUGUAGUUGCAUUUAAAAAUGUUCAAAUUAGUUUAAAUUUCUCAUUGAUUAUAUGAUUUACGACUAGUAAUCUAGAAAUUGUUUUUUUACUUUAAUAUGACAUCACAAAUUUUGUAUUGUUCAUCUUUAUAAAUUUUGAUAAUUUUUCUAGGAUUUUAAUUUUAAGCGUGGAAAGAAAGGCAAGAGAAUCACAGGCAGUGCACCAUUCCUUCAUAAGGAAAAAAACUUUUUUUUCUACAUGCAUUUAACAUUAAACAUUUAAUAAAAUAAUUUUUUCAUGUUUGUAUUAUAGGCAAAGCAUGAGUGUUGUGUCAAGCAUGGUUAUGCAAUCUUUGAUGAUACAAACAUGUGGCUAUGGGUGCCUUCUACAUUGAGACUACAUAUGUUUAAUGAUCUGCCAUUAACAUUUUCAAGACGAAGUAUCCUGGACAGUAUUGAAGGACUACGUACUUUAAAGGAAUACUCUACAAUCUGCCGGUAACAUUUUGAAGACGAUGAAGUAUUGUGGACUUGCUACUACACAUGAAAGAGAAGAGAUUGCAUUAAAGAAAGUGUCAAGUCUCAGGAAGUCUCAGAAUGGCUGCCUGGUCGUGUGGUUUGCGGACUGUCAUUUGGAUUUAUCGAUGGUCUCAGGUUCAAACUCUGCCCGCUC